GAAACACUAACUAGUGGUGAUACAUGAAAGUAACGGAAUAUGAUUUCUUUAUAAAGAGUAACUAAUAGGAUUCAGGAAAACUUUGGAAGACUUCUGGGAAAUGGCAAAAGUGAAACACCAAUUGCAGUCUUUCAAUUUGCCUACCACUGUGGGAAGAAGAGGGGCAGAAGAAGGGGAAAGUGGCCUUUGGAGGUGUGAACUAACUCUAGACUUUGCAAGGUCAUCAUAAUACAAAUGUCAAGGAUCCUCAGGCAACCAGUAUUCAAGGUAUUAAUAAGGGAAUGUCAUAUGACAGUUUGAUUAACCUAAGAAUGGGCUACUGCAGUUACUUUGGUGACUUGCUUCAGGCUAUUUCUUCAAGGAUUCACAAAUAUCAUACCGUGUUUUUACUAAUUAAACUAUCUUUCCCUAUA